CCUACGGGAGGCAGCAGUGAGGAAUAUUGGUCAAUGGGCGGGAGCCUGAACCAGCCAAGUCGCGUGAGGGAAGAAGGUACUGCGUAUCGUAAACCUCUUUUGUCAGGGAACAGUGGCGGGGACUAGUCCCCGGAUGAGGGUACCUGAAGAAAAAGCAUCGGCUAACUCCGUGCCAGCCGCCGCGGUAAUACGGAGGAUGCGAGCGUUAUCCGGGUUUAUUGGGUUUAAAGGGUUCGCAGGCGGGCUGUUAAGGCAGCGGGAAAAGUCCGGGGCUCAACCCCGGCGAGCCGUUGAAACUGGCGGGCUUGAGUGGGAGAGAAGGACGCGGAAUGCGUGGUGUAGCGGUGAAAUGCUUAGAUAUCGCGCAGAACCCCGAUUGCGAAGGCAGCGUACCGGCUCCACACUGACGCUGAGGCACGAAAGCGUGGGUAUCGAACAGGAUUAGAUACCCGGGUAGUC
rnacentral:rRNA from 1 species